GACGAACGCUGGCGGCGUGCCUAAUACAUGCAAGUUGAGCGAUGAAGAUUGGUGCUUGCACCAAUUUGAAGAGCAGCGAACGGGUGAGUAACGCGUGGGGAAUCUGCCUUUGAGCGGGGGACAACAUUUGGAAACGAAUGCUAAUACCGCAUAACAACUUUAAACAUAAGUUUUAAGUUUGAAAGAUGCAAUUGCAUCACUCAAAGAUGAUCCCGCGUUGUAUUAGCUAGUUGGUGAGGUAAAGGCUCACCAAGGCGAUGAUACAUAGCCGACCUGAGAGGGUGAUCGGCCACACUGGGACUGAGACACGGCCCAAACUCCUACUGGAGGCAGCAGUAGGGAAGCUUCGGCAAUGGACGAAAGUCUGACCGAGCAACGCCGCGUGAGUGAAGAAGGUUUUCGGAUCGUAAAACUCUGUUGGUAGAGAAGAACGUUGGUGAGAGUGGAAAGCUCAUCAAGUGACGGUAACUACCCAGAAAGGGACGGCUAACUACGUG
rnacentral:rRNA from 1 species